CGCCACGCGGCACAGCCUCCUGCCCCGCAGACGCAGAUAGCAGCCUCCGUCCCCCCUGUCGACCUCUCCCUCCCCGCCGCCGCCACGACCCAACAAAACAUCCUCCUCCGCACUCCCCACCGACGCCACCGCCUUCCUCCUCUUCGCCGCCGUGCCUUCCCUCUUCCGAACGGCGCCUCCGACCACCACCCCAGCGGCGCCCCUGCGCUUCUUCCCCAUCGGAGCAAAAAACCCGUCGCCCCCGCCCCGGCCGCCCGCCACCGCCACCAACCGACGGUAUCGCUCGCCGGCUAGCCGGCCGCCGCGUCUACAAAUACAGGACGGCGCGGCGCGGGGGUGGCGGCCAGAUACGGAUCCAACGGCCAGUCUAUUCCGUGACACGGGAUCCAACCGUUGGGAAAAAAUGAAAGCCGCCAGCGAUCGAGCGGAUCGGACGGUUCGGAUUUCGAAUUUAAAUAUUUUCCAACGUGUGGCGUGCGUGACCGGGGCCCGUGUUUUUUUAUUUAAU
rnacentral:lncRNA from 1 species